rnacentral:rRNA from 1 species
GGAUCCCAGGAGCUUGCUCCUGGGUGAGAGUGGCGAACGGGUGAGUAAUGCGUGACCGACCUGCCCCAUACACCGGAAUAGCUCCUGGAAACGGGUGGUAAUGCCGGAUGCUCCAGUUGAAUGCAUGGCCCUCUGGGAAAGCUUCAUCGGUAUGGGAUGGGGUCGCGUCCUAUCAGCUUGAUGGCGGGGUAACGGCCCACCAUGGCUUCGACGGGUAGCCGGCCUGAGAGGGCGACCGGCCACAUUGGGACUGAGAUACGGCCCAGACUCCUACGGGAGGCAGCAGUGGGGAAUAUUGCACAAUGGGCGCAAGCCUGAUGCAGCGACGCCGCGUGCGGGAUGACGGCCUUCGGGUUGUAAACCGCUUUUGACUGGGAGCAAGCCCUUCGGGGUGAGUGUACCUUUCGAAUAAGCACCGGCUAACUACGUGCCAGCAGCCGCGGUAAUACGUAGGGUGCAAGCGUUAUCCGGAAUUAUUGGGCGUAAAGGGCUCGUAGGCGGUUCGUCGCGUCCGGUGUGAAAGUCCAUCGCUUAACGGUGGAUCCGCGCCGGGUACGGGCGGGCUUGAGUGCGGUAGGGGAGACUGGAAUUCCCGGUGUAACGGUGGAAUGUGUAGAUAUCGGGAAGAACACCAAUGGCGAAGGCAGGUCUCUGGGCCGUCACUGACGCUGAGGAGCGAAAGCGUGGGGAGCGAACAGGAUUAGAUACCCUGGUAGUCCACGCCGUAAACGGUGGAUGCUGGAUGUGGGGACCAUUCCACGGUCUCCGUGUCGGAGCCAACGCGUUAAGCAUCCCGCCUGGGGAGUACGGCCGCAAGGCUAAAACUCAAAGAAAUUGACGGGGGCCCGC